UCUACGGGAGKCAGCAGUGGGGGAUAUUGMMMAAUGGGGGAAACCCUGAUGCAGCGAUGCCGCGUGAAUGAUGAAGGCUUUCGAGUCGUAAAGUUCUGUUCUUAGGGAAGAUAAUGACGGUACCUAAGAAGAAAGUCCCGGCUAAAUACGUGCCAGCAGCCGCGGUAAUACGUAUGGGACAAGCGUUAUCCGGAAUUAUUGGGCGUAAAGAGUUCGUAGGCGGUCCUUUAAGUCAGAAGUGAAAGGCAGUGGCUCAACCAUUGUAAGCUUUUGAAACUGGGGGACUUGAGUGUUGGAGAGGAAAGCGGAAUUCCUAGUGUAGCGGUGAAAUGCGUAGAUAUUAGGAGGAACACCAGUGGCGAAGGCNGCUUUCUGGACAAANACUGACGCUGAGGAANGA
rnacentral:rRNA from 1 species